AUUCCAGCUCCAAUAGCGUAUAUUAGUCAAACAGCUCGUAGCUGGAUUCCUGGUUUGAUGCCCUGACCCGCUGCUAUUUUGGUAGUGUAUGCCGGUUGUGCGUCUGCCAUCCUUCUAGGGAACGUUCCUUCUCUUCACUGAGCCGGGUUCGUGAUCUAGAUCGCUUACUUUGAAAAAAUUAGAGUGUUUAAAGCAGGCUUUUGCUGUGAAUAUAUUUGCAUGGAAUAAUAAUCUAGGACUUCGGUCAUAUUUUGUUGGUUUUUGUAGCUGAGGUAAUCAUUGAUAGGGAUUGUUGGGUGUGCUAGUAUUGAGCGACCAGAGGUGAAAUUCUUGGAUUUGCUCAAGACAAACUUAUGCGAAAGCAUUCACCAAUGAUGUCUUCAUCG
rnacentral:rRNA from 1 species